rnacentral:rRNA from 1 species
UACGUAGGGUGCAAGCGUUGUCCGGAAUUAUUGGGCGUAAAGAGCUCGUAGGCGGUUUGUCGCGUCUGCUGUGAAAACCCGAGGCUCAACCUCGGGCCUGCAGUGGGUACGGGCAGACUAGAGUGCGGUAGGGGAGAUUGGAAUUCCUGGUGUAGCGGUGGAAUGCGCAGAUAUCAGGAGGAACACCAAUGGCGAAGGCAGGUCUCUGGGCUGACACUGACGCUCAUGCACGAAAGCGUGGGGAGCAAA